rnacentral:lncRNA from 1 species
UUAGAAAGAGGUGGGGAAUCGAGUCGAGAACGAUGUUACUGGCGUGAUAGGUGAAAGGUUCAAUGCCUUCUGCCAUGCCAGGGAAAUGUCUGUUUCUAAUGCCGUUCUAAGAGAACUCGACUGAGAGAACUCGAAUGAGAAACUCGGCUAGGAUCUUCGUAGCAUCCUCUCCUAUCAUCUUUUCUCGUGGGAUACUCGCGGCUUCUUUCAACGAUAAUACUGAUGCUGGUACUGGUACUGUUAUUGGUGAUGGUAUUGGUGGUGGUGGUGGUGCUGCUCUUCAAAAACACUUUUCCUUGCGCCACAUGGAUUCUUGAAGAUUGAAGAGGAAUCGAAAGAAACUUCUUUUUCUUUGAGGAUAAUUAAAAAAAAAGAAGAAAAGAAAAUAAACCUACAAAGGAUUUGGUAUCUUUUACGAAAAAGAUGAAGUGUAUAUAUAUAUAUAUUUUUUUUUUAUUUUUUUUCACGGUCGUGCACACAGUUAUGCAAAUUAUCUAACGCAUUUAACAUUCCGCAUUCGUCAUCUCGAUAUGACGAGGCAUAAAAUGGUGACUGAAAAAAGAAAAAAGAAAAAAACGUCCACCACGACCUUUCAACGUGUCUAAUAUAUCAUCACGGAAGAGAAAGCGUUUGCUAUGGUAAAAUUUACAAAGAAAAAUUCGCGUGGGAGGAUAUAGAAUAUCUCUUUUUGUUUUUUUUUUUUUUUAUUAAGUAUAAUACAAUUGUAAAGUUCAAUUCUUUGAUGGACAGAUAUUGGAUCGAUCUUUAUGAACUUAUCGAUACAAACUACGACCUUCGAAUCGAUAAUUCCUGACAAUGGAUUGAAUC